rnacentral:tRNA from 1 species
GCGGAAGUAGCUCAGAUUGGUAGAGCAUCUCCUUGCCAAGGAGAAGGUCGCGGGUUCGAGUCCCGUCUUCCGCU